rnacentral:rRNA from 1 species
AUUGAACGCUGGCGGCAGGCCUAACACAUGCAAGUCGAACGAGUGGCGGACGGGUGAGUAAUGUCUGGGAAACUGCCCGAUGGAGGGGGAUAACUACUGGAAACGGUGGCUAAUACCGCAUACUAUCGGAUGAACCCAUAUGGGAUUAGCUAGUAGGUGGGGUAAAGGCUCACCUAGGCGACGAUCUCUAGCUGGUCUGAGAGGAUGAUCAGCCAAAUGGGACUUGAGACAGGGCCCGGAUUCCUAGGGGAGGCAGCAGGGGGGAAUAUUGCAAAAGGGGCGAAAGCCUGAUGCACCCAUGCCGGGUGUAUGAAGAAGGCCUUAGGGUUGUAAAGUACUUUCAGCGGGGGGACGUUACCCGCAGAAGAAGCACCGGCUAACUCCGUGCAAGCGGCCGGGGUAAUA